ensembl:snoRNA small nucleolar RNA SNORA5
UGCGGUCAAGUCAAAUUCAGCCCUCAUUUCAUCAUGCUGUGGUCUGGCCCAGAUGGCUGCUACUGUUCUACUGUUCAUGGACUCUGAGUCCUCUGCCUGGGACCUGGGGAUAAAUUUGGUCAUAGACAUUU